GCCCCUCCCCAGGCUCGCAGGCUCGGAGUAGUAGACUCCGGCCCUGCGGAGAGGGACGGCUAAAGGUUCCGCGAGCCGAGGAAGAAGGCGGACCGGGCGAGGAGAAAGGAGAAACCGGUUGAACGGGUGAGGAGCUCCCGGGCAGGAGCCGACACAAGACACGCCUCCCUGCCUCACACCCCUCGGGGCUGCGGAAGUCCUCCGGAGACUGGAGCUGCACCGACCGACCAGUAGACUACGAUUCCCAGAAGGCGGUGCGGUGGCGUGCCUACGACUCCCGGCAGACCCCGCGCGCCAGGCUCUCUUCAGCGCGCUGCUUCUUAGGGAGAAACUACAGUUCCCACGAGGCCUCGCGCGAAGCGGCUUGGAAGUGGGCAGCCUGGAAGUCACUCGGGCCACUGGAGCUGGCGGCGUCUCUAGCGAACCGCGCCGUGCUGAACGCCGCGGUCGAGGAGCCCGCGGGGCGUGUGGCCGGUACGCCUAGGUACGUGGCUCCUGGUGCAGGAGCAGUCUCCUCCAAGGGUGGUGGGGAUUUGAUAGCUGCUCGGACCCGGAGGGUCAGUGCAGGCGGGGUGACCAGGCGGACGGCCGGGUGUGGGCAUCGGCUGUGGGGGGCGGCAGCGCCGGGACUCACGCCCUCCAUACCCGGCGGGACUCAUGCCCGCAUGGCUCAACUUUCCAGAGGUGCAACCGGGCACGGUGGGGAAGAGCUUGGAGUCCGGGAGACGUGGGUGCACGUCCCAGCUCUGCCACUAUAGAGCUGCGGUCUGGGAAAACCGCGCCGAACCUCGUUUUUAUCAUCCGCAAAACGGGGAAGGAGGAAUUGUCUUUUGCUGGUGAUUGUUCUGAGGUGUUGAGAUCUGGUGAAUAAGGCGUUUCACGUUGAAGAUACUUAUUACGGGUUUGCGUUAUUGUUAGUUCCUGGAGAGAUGAGGUGAAGAUAGUAUAGAUUGCCAAUCAGUUGACCAUGUGCAUGUAAAGACCCGAGUCCAUAGUUAACACUCAAUGCAGAGUAGCUGCUGUUAACUGCGAUCGUUUUAAUAAGAGCUUUUGCUUGUGAAGCAGAGAGACUCACGUUCAAAUUUAGGUUUUUGCCAUGCACCAGCAAGCUGUGUGACCUUGGACAACUAACUUCAUCCCUCUGUGCCUUAGUUUCCCUUUCUAUGCCUAAAUAUAAAGUGGAGAUUUCAAUGGAAGCCACCUCAUCGAAUUGUUUUGAAGAUGUAUAAGAACACCCCAUGUAAAGUGCUUAGCACAGCUGCUGGCAUAUAGCAGUUUGUAAACGCUGUCAUUUAUUCAGCGUUUCCGGGGAGCUUAGAGACCCUAAGUAGGGCUCUGACUGAUGCCUUGGUCUCUCCGGUGGGCCAGAUUCAACACUGAGUCCAGUUGGCUUUCCCUCCUGUCACACUUGGGUUUCUCGUUUAUAAAAAUGGGACAAUAACAGUGUUCCCUUGCUAAGGGUGUGAUGAUUUGCUGAACACUAGGCUGAGCCACCCUUCACUGAGUAGCAGUUCGUAUGGAUUUAUGAUUGUUCUUCAGUGUUCUCCAUCUGGCCCAGAGGCUGCCUAACUGUGGGCUGUGACAUGACAGCCCCGAGCUCCCCCACACGUUCGCUCCCAGCCUCAGUGUCCCAUCUGUGAAAUGGUAGUCAUAGGAUUUCUAUGCCAGGAUUGUUCUGACUCCAGGAGAUAGUUUGUGGUUAGCACAGGGCCCCAAGCACUUGAUGAAUGUACCUCUCUCUCUUUCUGCAAUAAGCCAUUUCUGAUUCUGUUUGUACUUAUAGGGCAGAGUGCAAGGUUAGUGCCCACCACUCCCCCAUCCUUAAAGUUGUCUCAGCAGAGGUUAAAUUGUUUUAGUAUAAGGACCCAAAGUGACAGUGCUGGCCCGCCAUCAGCAGCCCUUGUACAGUGCUCCUCCGCCAAGUCAGUAUAUCUGUAUUUAUUGUUGUUGUUGUUGUUGUUUGAUACUGAGAAUGGAAUCCAGGGUUUUGUGCAUGUCAAACACUUUCUCUACAGCUGCUGUAAACUGCUGCUCUGGACUCUGCCUUCCUCACCUCCAGCUCCAGACAUGGAACUUGUAUUUCCUUGAUGUCCCCUGAUGGAUGUUCUUGGGCAUUGUAAACUCAAGUUUGUCCAAUCUGAACACUUCCUCCUCUUUCCCCUCCUUGAUUCAGUAUCCGCCACCACAGCACAUCGGCUAACAGUGACCCUGUUGCCCCAGGCAACUCAGAUGUCUUCCGCCGCUUUCCCAUAAUCCAGUUGACUGGAGAGGAGGGCAGAGCUGCCCGGUUACAGAAGCAUCAUUUCACUGAACCCAAGCUGGAGGGUCCCCUAUCCCCUGAAGGUGGCCUUUUCUGUUUCAAGACAGGGUCUCAAGUAACCCAGGUUGCCCUUAAGUCUACUAUGUAGCCAAGGAUAACUUUGAACUUGUAAUCCUUGUGGCUGCAACUACUGGGAUUUCAGCUGUAAACCUAGCUGUGGAGGCACAGCUUUCCUGGCAAGGCCCAGUUGUUUCUUCUAGGUCAGCAAGCAUGAACGGAACGUAGGGUACAUAUAUGUAGUAUGUGCUCCAUAUGCGCCAGAGAAGACAAUGGGAAUUUGGCCAGACAGCUGUGGCUACAGAUGUGUCAGGAAGGCCUGGCUUUCAGGCAGCUCAUUUCUGCCAAAGACAAGCGGAGUUGAUAAUUUCUUUCUGAAAAGCUGCACUCUGUCAGUGCAUGAGACUAUCCAGUGUGGGAAAGCAACACACACACACACACACACACCACCACACCAGGGCAGAGGCUGGGGCAGGAUAAACCUGUGCUUGUGAUUUCAUUUGAGGUUGGCAAACUGAUCUCAAUCAAAUUUAUGAUGGCUAUCACAUUUUUUUUUUGUUUUUUGUUUGUUUGUUUGUUUGGUUUUUUGUUUGUUUGGUUUUGGUUUUUUGUUGUUUUUGCUUUUUAAUCUGCAGUAUUAAGACAAUGACUUAAAUAAAACAGAUCCUGGGUUAUCUCCCUUGUAGUGACAACAGCAAAUGUUUUUUAAACCUUUUGGGUAGAAUGGUUUAAGAGUUAACCGUGGGCCUGGUGUUCAGAUGUUGCAGUUGUUAGGCGGUAAAUCAAAACUGGAAUGUAGAAUGUGCCACAAUUGCUGUCCUUUUCUGCUGUAAAAUGAAUUUGCCUGUGUUUUUCAAGCUUAGGCUUCAUACCUUGCAAAGACUAAAUUAAAUGUACUUACAUU
rnacentral:lncRNA from 1 species